GAUGAACGCUAGCGGCAGGCCUAACACAUGCAAGUCGAGGGGGAAGUUACUUUCGGGUGACUGAGACCGGCGUACGGGUGCGUAACGCGUAUACAAUCUGCCUUUCACUGGGGGAUAGCCCGAAGAAAUUUGGAUUAAUACCCCAUAGUAUAUAGGGACGGCAUCGUUUUUAUAUUAAAGCUUAGGUGGUGAAAGAUGAGUAUGCGUUCUAUUAGCUAGUUGGAGAGGUAACGGCUCCCCAAGGCGAUGAUAGAUAGGGGUUCUGAGAGGGAUGUCCCCCACACUGGUACUGAGAUACGGACCAGACUCCUACGGGAGGCAGCAGUGAGGAAUAUUGGACAAUGGUCGGAAGACUGAUCCAGCCAUGCCGCGUGCAGGAUGAAGGUCUUAUGGAUUGUAAGCUGCUUUUGUAAGGGAAGAAUAAGGGCUACGCGUAGUUUGAUGACGGUACCUUACGAAUAAGCAUCGGCUAACUCCGUG
rnacentral:rRNA from 1 species